CAAUAGCGUAUAUUAAAGUUGUUGCGGUUAAAAGCUCGUAGUUGGAUUUCUGUUGAGGACGGCCGGUCCGCACUAUGUGCGUGUAUCUGGUUCGGCCUUGGCAUCCUUCUGGGGAACGGUGCUGCGCUUGAUUGCGUGGUCCGGUAUUCAGAACUUUUACUUUGAGGAAAUUAGAGUGUUUACGGCAGGCAUACGCCUUGAAUACAUUAGCAUGGAAUAAUACUAUAGGACCUUGGUUCUAUUUUGUUGGUUUCUAGAACUAAGGUAAUGAUUAAUAGGGAUAAUUGGGGGCAUUCGUAUUAACACGUCAGAGGUGAAAUUCUUGGAUUGUGUUACGACGAACUACUGCGAAGACAUUUGUCCAACGGAAGUGUUUUCUAUUGUAUCAAGAACGAAAGUAGCGGGGAGUCGAAGAUGAUCAGAUACCAU
rnacentral:rRNA from 1 species